rnacentral:lncRNA from 1 species
CCCUGUCCACCCUUAUUACCUCUGCCACCCUUUUCACCACAACCUGCCACCUUAUAACACUGUGUUGCGGCAUGACACCCGACCCCACUGUACAAUUUCAGUUCACAACAAUCACAACCAAAUAGCAAAUCAUAAAGAUAAACAACAAUCAAUUCACAAACAAGAAGAGCAACAACAAUACUUAUCAAGACACAACCACAACAAUGUUACGAGUGUUUCCAUAGCCUACACUUCCAAUUCCAUUAUAUUCAACAACUCAUAAGCAAUUCAAGCCAUUGCAAUAAUUACCCACAAGAUGCCAAAUAUGUUG